GCCAGGCAUGGUGGUGCAUGCCUGUAAUCCCAGCUACUUGGGAGGCUGAGGCAGGAGAAUUGCUUGAACCCAGGAAAUGGAGGUUGCAGUGAGCUGAUAUUGUGCCACUGCACUCCAGCCUGGGUGACAGAGCAAAACUCUGUCUCAA
rnacentral:SRP_RNA from 1 species